AUUGAACGCUGGCGGCAUGCCUUACACAUGCAAGUCGAACGGCAGCACGGGAGCAAUCCUGGUGGCGAGUGGCGAACCGGUGAGUAAUAUAUCGGAACGUGCCCAGUUGUGGGGGAUAACGUAGCGAAAGCCACGCUAAUACCGCAUACGAUCUAUGGAUGAAAGCGGGGGAUCGCAAGACCUCGCGCGAUUGGAGCGGCCGAUAUCAGAUUAGGUAGUUGGUGAGGUAAAGGCUCACCAAGCCGACGAUCUGUAGCUGGUCUGAGAGGACGACGAGCCACACUGGGACUGAGACACGCCCCAGACUCCUACGGGAGGCAGCAGUGGGGAAUUUUGGACAAUGGGCGCAAGCCUGAUCCAGCAAUGCGGCGUGCAGGAUGAAGGCCUUCGGGUUGUAAACUGCUUUUGUACGGAGCGAAAAGGCUUCCACUAAUUCUGGGGGCUCAUGACGGUACCGUAAGAAUAAGCACCGGCUAACUACGUGCCAGCCGCCGCGGUAA
rnacentral:rRNA from 1 species